UUUCACCCUCAGAUACAGAUACAUACGCCACCGCAUUUGAUGUUCCUCUUCUUUUCUUAGGGUUUUUUUUUUGUUUGUUUGUUUUGUUUUAAAUAAAAUUCUUUCUACGUUACAGUUCGAAUUCAGCUUCUUUUCCACUUCCUAGCAAUGGCGAACAACAAGAAGAAGACGACGAACUCACCCAAAUUAGAGCAAAUUGAUAAUCUACCAUACUACUAUUCUCAAAAGCCCAGAAGCUCACAACCCAAACGCCGCUCCGACUUCUCCUCCUUCUUCUAUUCCGCUCCUCUCUACAAUUCAGGUUCCUUACCGGGGUCAUCCUGUGGUGAAGUUGGAUUGUCCAAUGUCACCAUGAAUAGCUUGAACGACAGAAAUGCUGAAGGAGAACAGUUGCCUGAGCAUCCUCUGGUUCAAUGCUGCAAGUUCCAGGAUAAAGAACUACGAUUCUCCUCGGAUUUCUCUGAAACCCUGACCGUAGAAGUUGAAACAGUAGCACAGAAUGAACUUUUUGACACCUUGAGUGAAAGAAACGUUGGUGAACAAACAAGUGAUACUGCUAGGUCGGUAGAAUGCACUCCUUCGCAUGCUACAGAAACCAAUGGUUUUUGCAUAACACCCGGAAGUGUUGUGUGGGCUAGAACUGCUAGUCACAUGUGGUGGCCUGCUAAGAUCACGGAUCGAAGAUACAAUUCAGCUGACACAAGGAACCAAGAUACUGGUGGACGUGUUCUAGUAGAAUUUUAUGGAAGCAAUGACAUGAUUUUCAUGAUCUGUUUGUCUUAUGAUCCGAGUAUUGUGAUACCCAGCGCUUGGCUUGAUCCUACCAGAGAUCUUUCCCAACUUGAGGAUUGCUUUGAAGAAAGGAGCUGUAACCCUAUGGAAGAUUUUCAAGACGCUUUAAAACAAGCCUUACAAGGGAAGGAAUGCUUAAGUUCAUGUGGAGAGUUGUUUAAGAGCCCUGAUGAUCUUAAUGACUCAGAUCAGCAAUAUCAUUCAUCUCGAGAUCAUCGGCUGGGAAGCUAUGUUGUACUACUCCCUUUGUGUCUUCCUUCCAGUUUUAAUUUUGCUUCUGGGUCAAACAGAAAAAUGGACUUCAUCAAUUUCAUGCAGAGCAGAGGAUGAUUUCCUUGAAAGAGGGAGGGGCAAGAGGGAGCGAAAGCGUAAACUACACUUUGAUGAAGUGACAUUUCCACUGAUGUCAGCCAAGAAAGUUCGGCGGUUCAGGAUAAUGAGGUACCUUGGCCUUAGCGCUCCAAUUGGUUCUCCUUUUUUUAUCAACUAACAACACCACACACUCCUACCCACACCCCCCCCCCCCCCCCCCCCCCCCCCCCCCCCCCCGGCGCGGCCAACAACAAUAAGUAGCUUUGGCAGUAUUUGAUCUACCUUCUCACUCACUCACUCGGCACUGUAGUUUUUGUUGCGAGGUUCAUAAGGUCUCUUAUUUAAUAACGUUCAUUUGUAAAGAAAAUCUUAUCAUUUGAAUGAUAUAACUAUCUAAUCUUUAUUAUAGGGA